AAUGAACGCUGGCGGCAGGCCUAACACAUGCAAGUCGAACGGAUCCUUCGGGAUUAGUGGCGGACGGGUGAGUAACGCGUGGGAACAUACCCUUUGGUACGGAAUAGCCUCGGGAAACUGGGAGUAAUACCGUAUGUGGUCGAGAGACGAAAGAUUUAUCGCCAAAGGAUUGGCCCGCGUUGGAUUAGGUAGUUGGUGGGGUAAUGGCCUACCAAGACGACGAUCCAUAGCUGGUUUGAGAGGAUGAUCAGCCACACUGUGACUGAGACACGGCCCAGACUCCUACGGGAGGCAGCAGUGGGGAAUCUUAGACAAUGGGGGAAACCCUGAUCUAGCCAUGCCGCGUGAUCGAUGAAGGCCUUAGGGUUGUAAAGAUCUUUCAGGUGGGAAGAUAAUGACUGUACCACCAGAAGAAGCCCCGGCUAACUCCGUGCCAGCCGCCGCGGUAA
rnacentral:rRNA from 1 species